rnacentral:rRNA from 1 species
GACAGAGGGUGCAAACGUUGUUCGGAAUUACUGGGCGUAAAGCGCGUGUAGGCGGCAGGGCAUGUCGGAUGUGAAAUCCCGUGGCUCAACCACGGAAGUGCACCCGAAACUGCCCAGCUUGAGUCUCGGAGAGGAAGACGGAAUGCUUGGUGUAGAGGUGAAAUUCGUAGAUAUCAAGCGGAACACCGGUGGCGAAGGCGGCCUUCUGGACGAUGACUGACGCUGAGACGCGAAAGCGUGGGGAGCAAACAGG